rnacentral:rRNA from 1 species
GAUGAACGCUGGCGGCGUGCCUAAUACAUGCAAGUCGAGCGAACAGACGAGGAGCUUGCUCCUCUGACGUUAGCGGCGGACGGGUGAGUAACACGUGGAUAACCUACCUAUAAGACUGGGAUAACUUCGGGAAACCGGAGCUAAUACCGGAUAAUAUAUUGAACCGCAUGGUUCAAUAGUGAAAGACGGUUUUGCUGUCACUUAUAGAUGGAUCCGCGCCGCAUUAGCUUGUUGGUAAGGUAACGGCUUACCAAGGCAACGAUGCGUAGCCGACCUGAGAGGGUGGUCGGCCACACUGGAACUGAGACACGGUCCAGACUCCUACGGGAGGCAGCAGUAGGGAAUCUUCCGCAAUGGGCGAAAGCCUGACGGAGCAACGCCGCGUGAGUGAUGAAGGUCUUCGGAUCGUAAAACUCUGUUAUUAGGGAAGAACAAAUGUGUAAGUAACUAUGCACGUCUUGACGGUACCUAAUCAGAAAGCCACGGCUAACUACGUG